GAAUCUUGCACAAUGGGCGAAAGCCUGAUGCAGCCAUGCCGCGUGAAUGAUGAAGGCCUUAGGGUUGUAAAAUUCUUUCGUCAGGGAUGAUAAUGACCGUACCUGAAGAAGAAGCCCCGGCUAACUUCGUGCCAGCAGCCGCGGUAAUACGAAGGGGGCUAGCGUUGUUCGGAAUUACUGGGCGUAAAGCGCACGUAGGCGGACUUUUAAGUCAGGUGUGAAAUCCCGGGGCUCAACCUCGGAACUGCAUUUGAAACUGGAAGUCUUGAGACCAGGAGAGGUUAGCGGAAUACCGAGUGUAGAGGUGAAAUUCGUAGAUAUUCGGAGGAACACCAGUGGCGAAGGCGGCUCACUGGCUCGAUACUGACGCUGAGGUGCGAAAGCGUGGGGAGCAAUCAGG
rnacentral:rRNA from 1 species